rnacentral:lncRNA from 1 species
AGACAGAGUCUCGUGCUGUCCCCUGGGCUGGAGUGCAGUGGCACGGCCUCGGCUCACUGCAACCUCCACCUCCCAGGUUCAAGCAAUUUUCCUGCCUCAGCCUCCUGAGUAGCUGGGAUUACAGGUGCCCGCCACCAUGACCAGCUAAUUUUUUUGUAUUUUUAGUAGAGACGGGGUUUCACCAUGUUGGCCAGGCUGGUCUUGAACUCCUGACUCCGUGAUUCAACUGCCUCAGCCUCCCAAAGUGCUGGGAUUACAGGCAUGAGCCGCUGUACCCGGCUGUCUUUUAUUUUUGAUAAAUAUGUUUUUCUGUUUUUUUUUGUGGUGUUUUUUGUUUGUUUGUUUGUUCGAGACAGAGUAUUGCUCUCUCACCUGGGCUGGAGUACAGUGGCGUGAUCUCGGCUCACUGCAACCUCCACCUCCUGAGCUCAAAUGAUUCUCCUGCCUCAGCCUCCGAGUAGCUGGGAUUACGGGCAGGCACCACCAAACCCAGCUAAUUUUUGUGUUUUUAGCAGCGACAGGGUUUCACCAUGUUGCCCAGGCUGGUCUCAAACUCCUGAGCUCAGGCAAUCCACCUGCCUCAGCCUCCCAAAAUCCUAGGAUUACAGGCGUAAGCCACUGUACCUGGCCAGUUUUUAAUCAGUAUGUUCUUGUUAGCAAAUAGUUUUGUGUUUUAUAUAUGUGGUUUUCUUUUUUGUUUGUUUGGUUAUUUUUGAGGCAGGGUCUCACUUUGUCACCCAGGCUGGAGGGCAGUGGUGCAAAAACCACCCACUGAAGCCUCAACCUCUCAGGCUCAAGUGUUCCUGUCACUUUAGCCUCCCAAGCAGCUGGGACUACAAGCCAUGCCACCACACACAGCUGAUUUUUUGUAUUUUUUACUAGAGACAGAGUUUUGCCAUGUUGCCCAGGCUGGUCUUGAACUCCUGGACACAAGUGAUCCGUCCUUCAAAAGUGCCGGGAUUAUAGGCAUGAGCCACCGCACCUGGCCUCUACAUAUGUCUUUUUAGUAACUAAACUCUGGAGGAAAAUAUAUCAGUCACUGUUGUUUUGGAGGGUUGUGAAGGAAAUACUCCCUA